UAAGAAUGACGAUAACAUAAAGCAAAUAGAUUGAAAACACAUCAAGGCCUCGCCCUCCAUCUGCAGAACCAGUUGAGGCAAGGUUGCACGCAAUAUCAUUAUUUUCGCAUUUUAAUUAAAGCAGCAAUAUCUACCAGAAUAGCGCAAAUAGAAAGAAAGAACUAUUGAGAACAACAGCCCCUUCGCUCUUCACCGGGAAGCUAUUGAGGCCGCACAGCUAGGCGUGAAGGAGGAGAGACAGCACACAAGGCGAACGCGUCCUUGGACGAGGCAGCUGCCAAGUGGUAGCGCUGCCACGUGCGCUUGCGUCGGCACACUACACGUUCUGACAAGACAAAGUGGCACUCAUGAAUGUCUUAUUGACGUCGCUGCGGUACCAAAUGUCAACUCAUUUAUGGGGCACAUCGAGCGAAACGCAGUGACAUAUUAAGGAAGACCAGUUUAACUUCAACGCGGAAAGGCCCGCAUGUCACAGAGGUCCCCUCGCCAGACCUUGGGCGGGGAAGACGACGCGGGCAGGGCACGUGGCCAAGGCGCGGCCGCCUAUAAAAGGACGCGACCAGCGGUUGUUUGGCGCUUAACUGCAGUCGCUGACCAGAAGGACCAGAGACAACGUUCCAGGCCGCCAUGAAAUUCUUCCUGCUCAUCGCCAUCCUAGUUGUGGGCCUGCUGUGCGUCCAGGCGCAGUAUGGGCGCGGCUACGGAGGAGGACGCGGCUACGGAGGAGGGCGCGGCUACGGAGGAGGACGCGGCUACGGAGGAGGGCGCGGCUACGGAGGAGGAUUCGGCCGUGGUUACGGAGGCGGCUAUGGACGUGGAUAGGGACGCUGAUUCCACGGGUGACCACCGAAUUCGACUGCGCACAUUGGAAAGGCAUUGGUGACUGUGGAUAACGACAAGGCUGCGCACCUCAUGGAUCUGAAAGUUUCGAACAAAGGAUAUUCGACAUUCAUCUGGGUGUACGUUCCAAUACAAAGCCCAUAAUAAAUGAGUACGCAGACAAAA
rnacentral:lncRNA from 1 species